rnacentral:tRNA from 1 species
CAAUUAGUAAGCUCAGGGCGUUCUUAGUGUUAAUAAGAAUAUUGAAUGUGUAAGUUCUUAAUUUG